UGCCAGCCGCCGCGGUAAUACGUAUGGUGCAAGCGUUAUCCGGAAUCACUGGGCGUAAAGGGAGCGUAGGCGGUUUUGCAAGUCAGAAGUGAAAGGCUACGGCUCAACCGUAGUAAGCUUUUGAAACUGCAAGACUAGAGUGCAGGAGAGGCAAGUGGAAUUCCUAGUGUAGAGGUGAAAUUCGUAGAUAUUAGGAGGAACACCAGUGGCGAAGGCGGCUUUCUGGACCGAUACCGACGCUGAGGUGCGAAAGCUAGGGGAGCAAACAGGAUUAGAUA
rnacentral:rRNA from 1 species